GUACAUGAUUACAUCAUAACAUUAAUGCACCAGAUCCCAUUAGAACUCUGCAAUUAAGCGCGCUCGGGCUAGAGUAGUACUAAGAUGGAUUUCCACCCGGGAUGUCCUGGUAUUUUACAUU
rfam:Picea glauca, whole genome shotgun sequence.